UAAAGAAUUUCGGUAUGGGAUGGGGAUGCGUUCCAUUAGCUAGUUGGCGGGGUAACGGCCCACCAAGACAACGAUGGAUAGGGGUUCUGAGAGGAAGGUCCCCCACAUUGGAACUGAGACACGGUCCAAACUCCUACGGGAGGCAGCAGUGAGGAAUAUUGGUCAAUGGACGAGAGUCUGAACCAGCCAAGUAGCGUGAAGGAUGACUGCCCUAUGGGUUGUAAACUUCUUUUAUAUGGGAAUAAAAUGUUCCACGUGUGGGAUUUUGUAUGUACCAUAUGAAUAAGGAUCGGCUAACUCCGUGCCAGCAGCCGCGGUAAUACGGAGGAUCCGAGCGUUAUCCGGAUUUAUUGGGUUUAAAGGGAGCGUAGGUGGAUUGUUAAGUCAGUUGUGAAAGUUUGCGGCUCAACCGUAAAAUUGCAGUUGAAACUGGCAGUCUUGAGUACAGUAGAGGUGGGCGGAAUUCGUGGUGUAGCGGUGAAAUGCUUAGAUAUCACGAAGAACUCCGAUUGCGAAGGCAGCUCACUGGACUGCAACUGACACUGAGGCUCGAAAGUGUGGGUAUCAAACAGGAUUAGAUACCCUGGUAGUCCACACAGUAAACGAUGAAUACUCGCUGUUUGCGAUAUAGGCAA
rnacentral:rRNA from 1 species